rnacentral:tRNA from 1 species
UCCCUGAUGGCUCAGAGGUUAAAGCAUCUGCCUGCAAUGUGGGAGACCUGGGUUCGAUCCCAGGGUUGGGAA